rnacentral:rRNA from 1 species
UUGAACGCUGGCGGCAGGCCUAACACAUGCAAGUCGCGCGGAUGAAGGGAGCUUGCUCCUGGAUUCAGCGGCGGACGGGUGAGUAAUGCCUAGGAAUCUGCCUGGUAGUGGGGGAUAACGUCCGGAAACGGGCGCUAAUACCGCAUACGUCCUGAGGGAGAAAGUGGGGGAUCUUCGGACCUCACGCUAUCAGAUGAGCCUAGGUCGGAUUAGCUAGUUGGUGGGGUAAAGGCCUACCAAGGCGACGAUCCGUAACUGGUCUGAGAGGAUGAUCAGUCACACUGGAACUGAGACACGGUCCAGACUCCUACGGGAGGCAGCAGUGGGGAAUAUUGGACAAUGGGCGAAAGCCUGAUCCAGCCAUGCCGCGUGUGUGAAGAAGGUCUUCGGAUUGUAAAGCACUUUAAGUUGGGAGGAAGGGCAGUAAGUUAAUACCUUGCUGUUUUGACGUUACCAGCAGAAUAAGCACCGGCUAACUUCGUG